UACGUAGGGGGCAAGCGUUAUCCGGAUUUACUGGGCGUAAAGCGCACGUAGGCGGCUUGGUAAGUCAGGGGUGAAAUCCCACAGCCCAACUGUGGAACUGCCUUUGAUACUGCCAGGCUUGAGUACCGGAGAGGGUGGCGGAAUUCCAGGUGUAGGAGUGAAAUCCGUAGAUAUCGGGUGGAACACCGGUGGCGAAGGCGGCCCUCUGGGCCGAGACCGACGCUGAGGCGCGAAAGCUGGGGGAGCGAACAGG
rnacentral:rRNA from 1 species